UACGAAGGGGGCUAGCGUUGCUCGGAAUGACUGGGCGUAAAGGGCGCGUAGGCGGAUUGUACAGUCAGGCGUGAAAUUCCCGGGCUCAACCUGGGGGCUGCGCUUGAGACGUGCGAUCUUGAGUGGGGAAGAGGGUCGUGGAAUUCCCAGUGUAGAGGUGAAAUGCGCAGAUAUCAGGAGGAACACCGGUGGCGAAGGCGGGUCUCUGGGCCGAUACUGACGCUGAGGUGCGAAAGCGUGGGGAGCAAACAGG
rnacentral:rRNA from 1 species